AUUGAACGCUGGCGGCAGGCCUAACACAUGCAAGUCGAACGGUAACAGGAAGCGGCUUGCUGCUUCGCUGACGAGUGGCGGACGGGUGUGACAUGUCGGUGAAACUGCCUGAUGGAUGGGGAUAACUACUGGAAACGGUAGCUAAUACCGCAUAACGUCUCAAGCCCAAAGUGGGGGACUUUAGGACCUCUUUCCUUCGGCUGUUCGCAGAUGGGAUUAGCUAGUAGGUGGGUUAACGGCUCACCUAGGCGACGAUCCCUAGCGGGUCUGAGAGGAUGACCAGCCACACUGGAACUGAGACACGGUCCAGACUCCUACGGGAGGCAGCAGUGGGGAAUAUUGCACAAUGGGCGCAAGCCUGAUGCAGCCAUGCCGCGUGUAUGAAGAAGGCCUUCGGGUUGUAAAGUACUUUCAGCGGGGAGGAAGGGAGUAAAGUUAAUACCUUUGCUCAUUGACGUUACCCGCAGAAGAAGCACCGGCUAACUCCGUG
rnacentral:rRNA from 1 species